rnacentral:rRNA from 1 species
CGAACGCUGGUGCGUGUUUAUACGAGUGACAAAGUCGAGCGAGGACUGUAGCAAUACAGAGCCGAGCGGCGAACGGGUGAGUAACGCGUAAGCAAUCUGCCCCGCAAUCGGGAAUAACUGUUCCAACGGACAGCUAAUGCCGGAUAUCGUGGCCCUUCGCCUGGAGGGUUGACGAAAGAUUUAUUGUUGCGGGAUGAGCUUGCGUCCGAUUAGCUAGUUGGCGGGUAACGGCCCACCAAGGCGACGAUCGGUAUCCGGCCUGAGAGGGUGAUCGGACACAUUGGGACUGAGAUACGGCCCAGACUCCUACGGGAGGCAGCAGUAGGGAAUAUUGCGCAAUGGGGGAAACCCUGACGCAGCAACGCCACGUGUGGGAAGAAGCAUUUCGGUGUGUAAACCACUGUCGAGAGGGAAAAACCGGCGGCUUCGGCCGCCCUGAUGGUACCUCUAAAGGAAGCACCGGCAAACUUCGUGCCAGCAGCGGCGGUAAUCUGAUGGCG